rnacentral:rRNA from 1 species
AUCCCUACCCGUGCCGCCCGUCCAGAUCCGCUCUCUCUCCCUCUCGUUCCCCCUCCCAUCGCGGCUCUCCGCCGGCUACCCACCACGGCCACGCACCGCCGGCUCGCUCCUCCUCCCAUGGACGCGAGCCCAUCUCCUCCUUCCCGAGCAGUGCUUCUCCACGGGUAGGUGACUGCUCUUCUUCCUUGCCUUGCGUCCUCUAUCGCCAGAUCCAUGGCCAUGGAGGUAAGAUGCAGCGGGCAAGGCUGCCUCAUCGACAUCAAGCUUUGUGGUGAUGAUGUUGGGCAGCGACGAACAACAAGUAGCAGCAUCACCGCCAUGGCUGGCAGCUCAGUGGUGGCUAGAUCUAUUCACUGAGGCAUCACCACCACUCCUCCGGCAAGCACGCCGGUGGUUGGCAGCUCUUCCUCAUCUUCCAACUCAAAUUGUCUAGGUAGCAGAGAUUCAUCUCCUUGUUUUUUUAAACAAGCCUAUUAUCUUCUCAAUCUUUUGAGAUGCAUCUGGUUACGUGUGUGUUUGUGUCUUUUCUGUGAUGGAUUUUUCAUCCAGCACACAUAGAAAAAAAGAUAGAUUGAUCUUUUCUUCUUUCUUCUACUACAUUUUUCGGCUAAUGAGUGGUCUUAUUUUCUGUGUAAUUUUUUGUUUCCUCGGGAAAAUGGAUUGGUC